CGGACGGGUGAGUAACGCGUGAGCAACCUUCCUUCACAGGGGAGUAAGAUACCGAAAGGUGUUCUAAUACCGCAUGAGACCACAGAGCCACAUGGCUUAGGGGUCAAAGGAGGAAUCCGGUGAAGGGUGGGCUCGCGUCCGAUUAGCUAGUUGGUGAGGUGACGGCCCACCAAGGCGACGAUCGGUAGCCGACCUGAGAGGGUGAUCGGCCACAUUGGAACUGAGAGACGGUCCAA
rnacentral:rRNA from 1 species